GGGGAAUAUUGGGCAAUGGGCGAAAGCCUGACCCAGCAACGCCGCGUGAAGGAAGAAGGUUUUCGGAUUGUAAACUUCUUUUAUCAGGGACGAAGAAAGUGACGGUACCUGAUGAAUAAGCCACGGCUAACUACGUGCCAGCAGCCGCGGUAAUACGUAGGUGGCAAGCGUUAUCCGGAAUUACUGGGUGUAAAGGGAGCGUAGGCGGGAUGCCAAGUCAGCUGUGAAAACUAUGGGCUUAACCUGUAGACUGCAGUUGAAACUGGUAUUCUUGAGUGAAGUAGAGGUUGGCGGAAUUCCGAGUGUAGCGGUGAAAUGCGUAGAUAUUCGGAGGAACACCGGUGGCGAAGGCGGCCAACUGGGCUUUAACUGACGCUGAGGCUCGAAAGUGUGGGGAGCAAACAGGAUUAGAUACCCUGGUAGU
rnacentral:rRNA from 1 species